GGGUGUUAGGAACUUUUCUAAGAACUUUACAUCUGUCACCUUGUUGAUUUGUCUAAUCUACCUGGGUAUGUAUGUGUGCCCUGCAUCUGUCACUACUCCAUGCAAGUGCCUCCCCAGUCUGUGGACACAAGAGAAUAACCUUCCUCAUAGACGGGAACUCAUUCCUCCAAUAAGCUUAUAGGAGUCACCGUGUUCCCCUGCUCGAGCCUCCUAACAAGCUUUUGAAAUCCAUUUCUAAGAGAAUAAAACAGUUCAUUUUUAAAAUACACAUUAAAAAUUUU
rnacentral:snRNA from 1 species